rnacentral:rRNA from 1 species
UACGGAGGGUGCAAGCGUUGUCCGGAUUUAUUGGGUUUAAAGGGUGCGUAGGUGGCCCGUUAAGUCCGGGGUGAAAGCCCACUGCUCAACAGUGGAACUGCCCUGGAUACUGGCGGGCUUGAGUCCAGACGAGGUUGGCGGAAUGGAUGGUGUAGCGGUGAAAUGCAUAGAUACCAUCCAGAACCCCGAUUGCGUAGGCAGCUGACUAGGCUGGUACUGACACUGAGGCACGAAAGCGUGGGGAGCGAACAGG